CCGAAUCGAACCCAUCUUCCAAGGAGCAAGGAAGAAAUACAAAGAAAACAUAACAUGUCAAGCAUAUAACUACAGCCAUUAUUUCUUUUUCAUAUCACACCCAAAAGAGCAGGUAAAUUAUAAGCUUGAAGGUCUCUUUUCUGUUAGAUUUAUAAAAUCUUCAAACCUUGCAAUGCUAAAUCUGUUGUUUAAGGAUGCCGAGGUUCUAAUUUUCCAAACACUAAUAUGUCUACAAGAUUCUCAGUACAUUAGAGAUCUGUAAAUUCCUCAAGGACUGCACUGAUUCAGGACUUCUAAGUUUAGACUUUCCCGUUUUAGUUUAUGUUUGCUUCUAUUUCACAUUUUCCACAAUAGUAAUGCAAAUUAAAUGAAUAUGUAGUCACAUACUUAAACUUGUUUAUAACUCCAGGUUAAAACUUAUGCUUUUGAUGGUUCCAUUUUAAAUACCUUUUAUUUAUAAUUUAACAUCCUUCAUGAUAUUUAAGCAAAAUAAAUAAAUGCAUACCUUAACUCUCUUGUAACUCCAGGUCUGGGAGCUGCUGGACACAUUCGACGCUUCAGUAAACGGUUGAUCAAGGAUGACUUCCCAACAUUUGGGUACCCGACUAUUCCAGCUCGAACCUGUACAAUAGUGAAAUAAAUUUCAUCAAAGUUAAUGAUAUUCUUUUGCCAGGCUUCAAAAAAUUAGGUUUCAUGGUUACUAAGAAGAUAGCUAUGACUGACAACAAUGGUAAUAAAGGAUCAAUGUCUCCCAAAAAAUAUUGUUUUUUACAAUGACUAUGAUCUAUUCCUCUAGAGAGCAUCCGCAAAUACAAAGUUUACCUCUAUAACACAACCCUGGGAUGAAAACAAAUCCUUACUAUGACAUUUCAACUAUAUUUGUCAAGAUUUGCUUUGGAAAUCAAAGAAUCAAAAAGAAGGUGGUCGAAUGGCAUGUUCCUUUUCGGAUAGUAGUUUUAAUGAUAUAGUUAAAAUGAUUUCAUGACAUCUAUAAUGGUCAUACAUUAUAUGACAUGGGCCUAACAGCAUUUUUCUAAUUCAAGUGAAAAGAACAGCAAUGAGACUGAAAUUUCAAACUAAAGCUGGCAAGGGGCCCAAUUCAUGUAACAAGCACGUGAACUUAGCGGCAAAUUUAAGAACAAAAGAUUGGUACUGGCUUGACUGAGCUAGG
rnacentral:lncRNA from 1 species